rnacentral:rRNA from 1 species
AUUGAACGCUGGCGGCAGGCUUAACACAUGCAAGUCGAGCGGGGUGAUGGUGCUUGCACUAUCACUUAGCGGCGGACGGGUGAGUAAUGCUUAGGAAUCUGCCGAUUAGUGGGGGACAACAUCUCGACAGGGAUGCUAAUACCGCAUACGCCAUACGGGAGAAAGCAGGGGAUCACUGGUGACCUUGCGCUAAUAGAUGAGCCUAAGUCGGAUUAGCUAGUUGGUGGGGUAAAGGCCUACCAAGGCGACGAUCUCGAGCGGGUCUGAGAGGAUGAUCCGCCACACUGGGACUGGGACACGGCCCAGACUCCUACGGGAGGCAGCAGUGGGGAAUAUUGGACAAUGGGGGGAACCCUGAUCCAGCCAUGCCGCGUGUGUGAAGAAGGCCUUAUGGUUGUAAAGCACUUUAAGCGAGGAGGAGGCUCUUUUGGUUAAUACCCAAGAUGAGUGGACGUUACUCGCAGAAUAAGCACCGGCUAACUCUGUGCCAGCAGCCGCGGUAA